AUUUAGAUAGUCUACACAUCAAAGAAGUAUCAAAAUAGAGAAGCAUAGGCUACAACACUCAUGUAUCCACAUGAAGCAUCACAAGUUAUGUUUCAAUCCUCCUUGAAAUACAAGAUCAACACCAUACCUCAAGAAGCUGCUUUCCCAGGAGGCAGAGCAACCGCCGGCUUGGCCUCGCCGGAGCAGCACCCCCCACCGUGGUGAUGGUGAUGAUGAUGCCCCGGAAAGAUCUCCCUCCCCUUGAGCUGCUUCCUCAUAUCAUAAGCAUCCUCUCCAUCCG
rnacentral:misc_RNA from 1 species